ACGAACGCUGGCGGCGUGCUUAACCCAUGCAAGUCGCACGGAAAGGCCCUGCUUUUGUGGGGUGCUCGAGUGGCGAACGGGUGAGUAACACGUGAGUAACCUGCCCUUGACUUUGGGAUAACUUCAGGAAACUGGGGCUAAUACCGGAUAGGAGCUCCUGCUGCAUGGUGGGGGUUGGAAAGUUUCGGCGGUUGGGGAUGGACUCGCGGCUUAUCAGCUUGUUGGUGGGGUAGUGGCUUACCAAGGCUUUGACGGGUAGCCGGCCUGAGAGGGUGACCGGCCACAUUGGGACUGAGAUACGGCCCAGACUCCUACGGGAGGCAGCAGUGGGGAAUAUUGCACAAUGGGCGGAAGCCUGAUGCAGCAACGCCGCGUGCGGGAUGACGGCCUUCGGGUUGUAAACCGCUUUCGCCUGUGACGAAGCGUGAGUGACGGUAACGGGUAAAGAAGCACCGGCUAACUACGUG
rnacentral:rRNA from 1 species